rnacentral:lncRNA from 1 species
ACUCUGGGGUCAUCCCUCACUGCAGAGGGCAACAAUUCUUUUUGGGCUUCACCAUCUGAUGAAUUUGCUUUCGGGUUCCAACAGAUCAGAAAUGAAGGUUUCUUGCUGGCUAUUUGGUUCAACAAAAUACCUGAAAAGACAAUAGUCUGGUCGGCCAAUGGCAAUAAUCUAGUGCAAAGAGGAUCCAGAGUUGAACUCGCCACUGGUGGCCAGUUUGUGCUCAAUGACCCAGAAGGGAAACAGAUAUGGAAUGCCGUUUAUGCCAGUAAAGUCAGCUAUGCAGCUAUGCUAGAUACUGGAAACUUUGUGCUGGCAAGCCA